AUUGAACGGCGGCGGAAUGCUUUACACAUGCAAGUCGAACGGCAGCACGGAGAGCUUGCUCUCUGGUGGCGAGUGGCGAACGGGUGAGUAAUAUAUCGGAACGUGUCCAAUAAUGGGGGAUAACGAGUCGAAAGAUUCGCUAAUACCGCAUACGCCCUACGGGGGAAAGCAGGGGAUCGUAAGACCUUGCGUUAAUGGAGCGGCCGAUAUCUGAUUAGCUUGUUGGUGAGGUAAAGGCUCACCAAGGCGACGAUCAGUAGCUGGUUUGAGAGAACGACCAGCCACACUGGAACUGAGACACGGUCCAGACUCCUACGGGAGGCAGCAGUGGGGAAUUUUGGACAAUGGGGGCAACCCUGAUCCAGCCAUUCCGCGUGAGUGAAGAAGGCCUUCGGGUUGUAAAGCUCUUUCGCAAGGGAAGAAAACUUAUGAUCGAAUAAAUCAUAAGGUUGACGGUACCUUGAUAAGAAGCACCGGCUAACUACGUGCCAGCAGCCGCGGUAAUACGUAGGGUGCGAGCGUUAAUCGGAAUUACUGGGCGUAAAGCGUGCGCAGGCGGUUUUGUAAGUCGGAUGUGAAAUCCCCGGGCUCAACCUGGGAACUGCGUUCGAAACUGCAAGGCUAGAGUGUGUCAGAGGGGGGUAGAAUUCCACGUGUAGCAGUGAAAUGCGUAGAGAUGUGGAGGAAUACCAAUGGCGAAGGCAGCCCCCUGGGAUAACAC
rnacentral:rRNA from 1 species